GGUUUGAGUCGACUCAAAAAACCCAAAGACUCGAAACAGCUGAACUAAUUCCAGUACAGAACCUAACAGGAUGUUGCGCAUGCGCGACUGAACGAAUCACUCCCCAAGAUGACUCGUUCUUCCUGAGACGACAUUCCCGACAUUUUGGAAGUUCAAAAUCGGGUGCACAAUUGAAGUCCAUUAUAUGAAGAAAAAUCGUGAAAUGUUUUCCUCAAAAACCAUUAUUUCUUUACGACUGAAGACAGAAAGACAUGAACAUCUUGGAUGACAAGGGGGCAUUCGAGCGGGGAAGAGGGCAGUUUGUGCUCACCUGGUGAAGUCUGUCAUCUCCAUCAUGAUCAUGCACAUUUGCUUGGCCAAAACGAUGAUGUCAUUUCCGCUGUCA